rnacentral:rRNA from 1 species
ACGCUCGACACCUACGGGAGGCAGCAGUGGGGAAUAUUGCACAAUGGGGGAAACCCUGAUGCAGCGACGCCGCGUGAGUGAAGAAGUAUUUCGGUAUGUAAAGCUCUAUCAGCAGGGAAGAAGAUGACGGUACCUGAGUAAGAAGCCCCGGCUAACUACGUGCCAGCAGCCACGGUAAUCUGAGCGGGCUGGCAAGGC